GCUCCCUGGGAGGGAGGGGGUGGGGGCCUCCCCAUCCCUGUCUGUGCUUCCUGGUGCCUGAGCUGCAGCUUCUCACUCCCUGGUUAAAAUAAGGUUCUGGGUGUAAAUUUGUUUUUUCACUUCUUGCCAUGAGUGGUCGAUGUGUUAAUUAAAAAGCUGAAGAU